CCCUUAGAUGUUCUGGGAUGCACGCGCGUUACACUGAUUCGUUCAACGAGUUUAUGACCUUGCCUGAUGAGGUGGGGGAAUCUUUUCAAAUCGCAUCGUGAUGGGGAUAGAGUAUUGUAACUGUUAGUCUUCAACGAGGAAUUCCUAGUAAGUACGUGUCAUCAGCUCGUACUGAUUAUGUCCCUGCCCUUUGUACACACCGCCCGUCGCUCCUACCGAUUGAGUGCUCAGGUGAAUAGUAUGGACUGCACCAGUGUUCGGUCUCCGAAUGUUGACGCGAGAAAUUCUGUGAAUCUUAUUGCUUAGAGGAAGGAGAAGUCGUAACA
rnacentral:rRNA from 1 species